GGGUUGUGAGGUUAAGCGACUAAGCGUACACGGUGGAUGCCCUGGCAGUCAGAGGCGAUGAAGGACGUGCUAAUCUGCGAAAAGCGUCGGUAAGGUGAUAUGAACCGUUAUAACCGGCGAUGUCCGAAUGGGGAAACCCAGUGCAAUUCGUUGCACUAUCGUUAACUGAAUACAUAGGUUAACGAGGCGAACCGGGGGAACUGAAACAUCUAAGUACCCCGAGGAAAAGAAAUCAACCGAGAUUCCCCCAGUAGCGGCGAGCGAACGGGGAGCAGCCCAGAGUCUGAAUCAGCUUGUGUGUUAGUGGAACGGUCUGGAAAGUCCGACGGUACAGGGUGAUAGUCCCGUACACCAAAAUGCACAGGUUGUGAACUCGAAGAGUAGGGCGGGACACGUGGUAUCCUGUCUGAAUAUGGGGGGACCAUCCUCCAAGGCUAAAUACUCCUGACUGACCGAUAGUGAACCAGUACCGUGAGGGAAAGGCGAAAAGAACCCCGGCGAGGGGAGUGAAAAAGAACCUGAAACCGUGUACGUACAAGCAGUGGGAGCACCUUCGGGUGUGACUGCGUACCUUUUGUAUAAUGGGUCAGCGACUUAUAUUCUGUAGCAAGGUUAACCGUAUAGGGGAGCCGCAGGGAAACCGAGUCUUAACUGGGCGUUAAGUUGCAGGGUAUAGACCCGAAACCCGGUGAUCUAGCCAUGGGCAGGUUGAAGGUUGGGUAACACUAACUGGAGGACCGAACCGACUAAUGUUGAAAAAUUAGCGGAUGACUUGUGGCUGGGGGUGAAAGGCCAAUCAAACCGGGAGAUAGCUGGUUCUCCCCGAAAGCUAUUUAGGUAGCGCCUCGUGAACUCAUCUUCGGGGGUAGAGCACUGUUUCGGCUAGGGGGUCAUCCCGACUUACCAACCCGAUGCAAACUACGAAUACCGAAGAAUGUUAUCACGGGAGACACACGGCGGGUGCUAACGUCCGUCGUGAAGAGGGAAACAACCCAGACCGCCAGCUAAGGUCCCAAAGUCAUGGUUAAGUGGGAAACGAUGUGGGAAGGCACAGACAGCCAGGAUGUUGGCUUAGAAGCAGCCAUCAUUUAAAGAAAGCGUAAUAGCUCACUGGUCGAGUCGGCCUGCGCGGAAGAUGUAACGGGGCUAAACCAUGCACCGAAGCUGCGGCAGCGACACUAUGUGUUGUUGGGUAGGGGAGCGUUCUGUAAGCCUGCGAAGGUGUGCUGUGAGGCAUGCUGGAAGUAUCAGAAGUGCGAAUGCUGACAUAAGUAACGAUAAAGCGGGUGAAAAGCCCGCUC
rnacentral:rRNA from 1 species